UACGUAGGGUGCGAGCGUUAAUCGGAAUUACUGGGCGUAAAGUGUGCGCAGGUGGCUGAGCAAGUCGAGUGUGAAAUCCCCGGGCUUAACCUGGGAACUGCGCUUGUUACUGGCAAGCUAGAGUGUGGCAGAGGGGGGUAGAAUUCCAGGUGUAGCAGUGAAAUGCGUAGAUAUCUGGAGGAAUACCGAUGGCGAAGGCAGCCCCCUGGGUUAACACUGACGCUCAUGUACGAAAGCGUGGGGAGCAAACAGG
rnacentral:rRNA from 1 species